CCUUGCCAGCCCGCUCAGAAACUUAAGGAAUUGACGGGGCCCGCACAAGCGGUGGAGCAUGUGGUUUAAUUCGAUGAUACGCGAGGAACCUUACCUGGGCUCAAAUGUAUGUUGACGUAUUCUGAAAGGGAUACUUCUUCGGACAAUAUACAAGGUGCUGCAUGGUUGUCGUCAGCUCGUGCCGUGAGGUGUCGGGUUAAGUCCCAUAACGAGCGCAACCCCUAUCAUUAGUUGCCAUCAGGUCAAGCUGGGGACUCUAAUGAAACUGCCUACGCAAGUAGUGAGGAAGGUGGGGAUGACGUCAAAUCAGCACGGCCCUUACGUCCAGGGCUACACACGUGCUACAAUGGCCGGUACAAAGGGCAGCUACCUGGUGACAGGAUGCUAAUCUCAAAAGCCGGUCUCAGUUCGGAUUGGAGUCUGCAACCCGACUCCAUGAAGUUGGAAUCGCUAGUAAUCGCGCAUCAGCAUGGCGCGGUGAAUACGUUCCCGGGCCUU
rnacentral:rRNA from 1 species